CCUACGGGCGGCUGCAGUGGGGAAUAUUGGGCAAUGGGCGGAAGCCUGACCCAGCGACGCCGCGUGAGGGAAGAAGGCCUUUGGGUCGUAAACCUCUGUUGUAUGGGAAGAAGGAAGUGACGGUACCAUACGAGGAAGUCCCGGCUAACUACGUGCCAGCAGCCGCGGUAAUACGUAGGUGGCAAGCGUUGUCCGGAUUUACUGGGUGUAAAGGGCGCGUAGGCGGGAAUGCAAGUCAGAUGUGAAAUCCAUGGGCUCAACCCAUGAACUGCAUUUGAAACUGUGUUUCUUGAGUGAUGGAGAGGCAGGCGGAAUUCCUAGUGUAGCGGUGAAAUGCGUAGAUAUUAGGAGGAACACCAGUGGCGAAGGCGGCCUGCUGGACAUCAACUGACGCUGAUGCGCGAAAGCGCGGGGAGCAAACAGGAUUAGAUACCCUGGUA
rnacentral:rRNA from 1 species